rnacentral:lncRNA from 1 species
CAAAAUCAAUCAUUCAUAAUCAUCAAAGAAUCAAAGCAUGAAUUUGAAAUAGUCUCAAAACUCAAGUAAGAUUUCAAGCUUUCCAAAUCAACAAGAUAAUCAACUAGAAUCACAAUUCUCACAAGUGUUUCAACUCAAGGGGGUAGUGUUUCUCACAAUCCAAACAAUGUGUUCACAACAAAUCAAUUCAAACAUACAUCUCAACAAAUCACAAGACAUGCUAUCAAUCAUGGAUCACUAAGGUCUUUCUUAAGCUUGUAAAGGGGCUAGGCUAUAAGAAAUCAUUGUUUUUCUUUGGAUUCAAAAAGCCUCAAGGAUAAAAGAGCACAAAAUCUUCAAAAAUUCAUCUUAUGAUUCAUUUACUCCCUUUCACUUUCCCCAUAUUUCCAUUUGUGGU